rnacentral:rRNA from 1 species
UACGUAGGGCGCAAGCGUUGUCCGGAAUUAUUGGGCGUAAAGAGCUCGUAGGCGGUCUGUCGCGUCUGGUGUGAAAUCCCAUGGCUCAACUGUGGGCUUGCAUCGGGUACGGGCAGACUAGAGUGCUGUAGGGGAGACUGGAAUUCCUGGUGUAGCGGUGGAAUGCGCAGAUAUCAGGAGGAACACCAGUGGCGAAGGCGGCACUCUGGGCCGGUACUGACGCUGAGGAGCGAAAGCGUGGGGAGCGAACAGG